rnacentral:ncRNA from 1 species
GCAGGUUGCCGAAAGGCAAUAAUAGAGAAACCGGUUUAAGCCGGUGCGGUCCCGCCACUGUAACAGGGAGCGAGUCACAAUUAUGUCACUGCAGCAGGGUGAAGCUGCUGCGGGAAGGCGUUGACAAGCGAUGAACUGGAGCCAGGAGAACUGCCUGCUUAAC